rnacentral:rRNA from 1 species
UACGUAGGUGGCAAGCGUUGUCCGGAUUUACUGGGCGUAAAGAGCGCGCAGGCGGUCGUUCAAGUCGCGUGUGAAAGCCCCCGGCUCAACUGGGGAGGGUCACGCGAUACUGUUCGACUCGAAGGCAGGAGAGGGGAGUGGAAUUCCCGGUGUAGCGGUGAAAUGCGUAGAUAUCGGAAGGAACAUCAGUGGCGAAAGCGACUUCCUGGACCAAUACUGACGCCCAUGUGCGAAAGCGCGGGGAGCAAACAGG